GAAGUUGACCUACUGUGAUAUCCUCUACCCUCUUGGUUGCCAAGGUUGGGUCAGCUGAUCUGGCAAGCUAAAGGGUGUCCCCUUCCUCCCUC
rnacentral:sRNA from 1 species